ACCAUGGCUUAAGCCAACUCUGUGGAUGUUUCCUUUUUAACUUUUGUUCUUGCUCGUUACUCAACAAAUUUCCUGCUUGUAAUCUCUCUAUUCUUUCUUUUGACUGCCAUAUUCUCUUUAUUAUUAAGUUUUCACUCUUAAUAACCAUACUCUAUCAUUAUAUUCUACUGAGUAUACUUCCUAUUUCCUAUCUAUUCAUCUAGCAGUCAAUUCCUAAUGCUCAAUGCUAUUGUCAAUCUUUGACAAUGGCGCCAAAAUAUAAUUGUCGUUUUACUUAUUCUACAAAUUUCUUUGAGAAUAAACUUAUAUAAGGAGAUUCGAACGUAGGAAAAGACUAAUGGCAUGAGUUCUACUUAUUAGGGUCACACAAUUAACCAUAUUCCGAACCACUGAAAAUACCAAAGAAUACUACAAUGUUUUCUACUUCCUAAUAGUAUAUUACAAUCACUGAUAAUAACAAAGCAUAACUCUUGCACUGUCUUAAAAGAUCGCUCCAAAUAUAUAAAUUCCAUCCAACACCAAAAAUAAUAGACUUCCACUCCAAACAAUUUGUCUUCACACAAUUUCUGUAAUCACAGACUUCUUCCUUCAAAACACACAGCUCUCAAUAAUUAAUAAUCAUAAUCUUCCAUCCAUUAACAAUCUUCCAUAGAAACUGAUAAUCAACUCCCAAUAUCUUCUCACAAUAAUCCAACCACAUAGUACUCUAAUUACAUACUCAAUAUCUUAUAAAUCAAUCUCUGAUUUAUUCCACAGACUCACUUCACAAUAUUUAGAAACUAUCCAUUACUCUUCAACAACAAAGAAACAAAGAGGUAGCACCAAGCUUACCCUGGCUCAUGACUAUCACAGUCUAGUCGUUAGACUAACUUCUACAACUUCUAUAUACUUAUUCCUUAUUCCCAAA
rnacentral:lncRNA from 1 species